rnacentral:lncRNA from 1 species
AUCUGUAGGAAGAUUCUUGGGGUGUUAACUUUCCAUUGGUGGUUUCAUUUAUCAAUUUUUAAAAUCAUUUUUAUAGUGUUCUACUGAGUUCUGUCCACUUUUCUCAAGUCCUUCUGUUGUAGAACUAGAUUCAGGCUUCUCUGGGUCAAGGAAGUGGGGCAAGUAGCACAAAAUUUCUUUACCAACACUUCUAUUACAGAUAUGGCUGUGCCUGCGGAAUGGCGGCUCAUCCUGGGGACACAGCCCGACCCUUCUUUCCAGCUUCCUCUCUUCUCAUUUUCAUCAUGAGGGAUUGUGAAUGAAUGAACAUGGAGAAAAGUGAGAAACAAGAGAGCCCAUUUACGAGCAUGCUGUGUGUGUACCCUGAAUUUCCAAAUCGACUCUGAGUUCCUCCAGGACUCGAUGUGCUGCUUUCACCCUUUGAUGCCCAUGGGGCUGCACAAGUGUCCUUUGUACAGUAGGCUUGAAAGGAUGGCGAGAGUCAAGAGGACCCAGGGCGAGUGGGUGAGAGCAGAGAGGAGUGGCAGAAGUGGAUUUAAUGAGAGGAAAAGGAGAAGCUGUUAUUGCAAGACGGGUGGCUGGAGCUUUUUCCUACCCCCAAAAGUCUCUCUUUCUGCAAGGUUUCUUCUACUAGCAACUAUGAAGAAGAAG